rnacentral:rRNA from 1 species
GAUGAACGCUGGCGGCGUGCCUAAUACAUGCAAGUCGAGCGAACAGACGAGGAGCUUGCUCCUCUGACGUUAGCGGCGGACGGGUGAGUAACACGUGGAUAACCUACCUAUAAGACUGGGAUAACUUCGGGAAACCGGAGCUAAUACCGGAUAAUAUAUUAAACCGCAUGGUUCAUUAGUGAAAGACGGUUUUGCUGUCCCUUAUAGAUGGAUCCGCGCCGCAUUAGCUAGUUGGUAAGGUAACGGCUUACCAAGGCGACGAUGCGUAGCCGACCUGAGAGGGUGAUCGGCCACACUGGAACUGAGACACGGUCCAGACUCCUACGGGAGGCAGCAGUAGGGAAUCUUCCGCAAUGGGCGAAAGCCUGACGGAGCAACGCCGCGUGAGUGAUGAAGGUCUUCGGAUCGUAAAACUCUGUUAUUAGGGAAGAACAAAUGUGUAAGUAACUAUGCACGUCUUGACGGUACCUAAUCAGAAAGCCACGGCUAACUACGUG